CGACCAUAGACUGUCUGUGCUUGCGACUGAAGAAAUUUGCUUCAACAACACUGGCCAGUUCUCCUCUUUGUGGUGAGGCGGGUCUGCUAUGCUAGAAAUGGCUAGGCUUACCCAGCAGGCCUUCAGCGAAUUGGUGAAAAAUUGGCUUCGGUACGCCCCUUGGCGUGUCGGGGGAAAGAAAAGGAACUAGAUCCUCCACUUCAGGAUUGAAGUCUUUUUUUUUUCUGUUGUUACUGACACAAUAAAACAACAAUAACAAACAA